rnacentral:lncRNA from 1 species
UAAAAAUGUAAAAGAUCGGCUGGGUGUGGUGGCUCAUGCUUGUAAUCCCAGAACUUUGAGAGUCUGAGGUGGGUGGAUCACGAGAUCAGGAAUUCAAGACCAGCCUGGCCAACAUGGUGAAAACCCUGUCUCUACUAAAAAUACCAAAAUUAGCUGGGCAUGAUUGUGCACACUGUAAUCCCAGCUACUCAGCAGGCUGUGGCAGGAGAAUCACUUGAACCCAGGAGGUAGAGGUUGCAGUGAGCCGAGAUCGCGCCAGUGCACUCCAUCCUGGGUGACAGAACAAAACUCCAACUCGAAAAAAAAAAAUCAAUAAAAAUGUAAAAAAUCAUUCUUAGCUUGGAGUCUACAAAAAAGGAUGCAGCAUGUCAGAUUUGGCCCAUAAGCUGCAGUUUCCUGACCUCUAUCUACCUCAAUUGUUUCUUUACUUACAUUACAUGACAAGUGCAAACUUGGAUGGCUUCAAUGCCUGGCUUCUUUUAUUUAUUUAUUUAUUUAUUUAUUUUUUGAGACAGAGUUUUGCUGUGGCCCGGGCUGGAGUGCAGUGGCGUGAUCUCCGCUCACUGCAAGCUCCGCCUCCUGGGUUCACACCAUUCUCCUGCCUCAGCCUCCCAAGUAGCUGGGACUACAGGUGCACGCCACCACACUCAGCUAAUUUUUUAUAUUUUUAGUAGAGACGGAGUUUCACUGUGUUAGUUAGCCAGGAUGGUCUUGCUCUCCUGACCUCAUGAUCCACCCAUCUCAGCCUCCCAAAGUGCUGGGAUUACAGGCGUGUGCCACCGUGCCCGGCUGGCUGGCUUCUUUUUAUCCUUCACGUCUGGCUUUAAAUAUUACCUUUUCACAGAUUUCUUCUCUAAUCACUCUUUCUAAAGUAAAUAUGCCAUUUUUCAUUAUUAGUCAUUGCAUCCUAUUUCUUUCCCUUUAAUUUUCUUAUCACACUGUAUAAUUAUAUGGUUUUUUUUUUGGUUAUUGCCUGUCUCCCUCAAUAGAUCAUAAGUUCCAUUUGAUUAGGUACAAUGUCUGUUGGUUUAUUAGCCAGUGCCUAACACUACCAUUUAAUAUGUAUUCAAUGAAUAUUUGUUAAAUGUAUUGAUUGAAUUUAAAGUGACUAUUCAGCCUACUUCUACCCCUUGGAGCUUUGAUUGUUUCUUCAAAGGUGUUGAUCCUUUUGACUAUUUUAAUUAUGAAUUCACUAAAGACAUCUGGAAGGCUUACUGUGUCAAGCAGUGCCAAAUCCAUGGCUUGAUGAACCUAGAUCCAUCCCUUUCCCCUUUCCAUAUCACAGAUGACAACUUGAUGGUAGGCCUGUGACUUGUAAAAGUUGUCAUAGUUGAAUUCUGAAAUUUCUCUAAUUUUCUUGGGAAGCAGAGAGGAAAAAUUAGUAGUUAGCCUCAAUGGGACAGUUGAAUUUCAUGUAUAAUGAACAAAGUAGUGUGAGGAAGAGAGGAGGGCCUUUUCUUUUGAGGUCAUAACUAAAAGUUAGGUGAGCAAAUGCCAUAAGCAUGAAAAUAGCAAACCAAGCUUCUUGGUUUCUAUCCAAAGGCUUUGUUGGGAGAAGUAUCAAAGUGUGUUCAUUUGCUAUGUAAGAUAUAAGGUAGAGAACCCAAUUUGAAGGAGGUGGAAUAACUUUCCAAAAUACUUAUGGCUAAAUUCUCAGUUGAUCUUGGAAUAAGAUUCAGGAAUCCAAAUGCACCCUUCUUUGUUAUCUUGCUAGAAAACAGGCCAGGCAUGGUGGCUCAUGCCUGUAAUCCCAACACGUUGAGAGGCCGAGGUGGGUGGAUCACGAGAUCAGGAGUUGGAGACCAGCCUGAUCAACAUGGUGAAGCCCUGUCUCUACUAAAAAUACAAAAAUUAGCCAGGCAUAGUGGCAUGCACCUGUAAUCCCAGCUACUCAGGAGGUAGGCAGGAGAAUUGCUGGAACCCAGGAGGUGGAGGUUGCAGUGAGCCAAGAUCACGCCACUGCAAUCCAGCCUGGGUGACAGAGCUAGACUCUGCCUCAAAAAAAAAGAAAAGAAAAAAGAAGGGAAGGGAAGGGAAGGAAAAAGGGAAGGGAAGGAAGGGAAGGGAAGGGAAGGGAAGGGAAGGGAAGGGAAGGGAAAAGGGAAAACAAUGGGCUUUUACCCACAGCUGAUAAGCCUUUCUAAUUGUCUACCUUUGGGUUAAACUUUAUCAUUGAGUGUUUUUAUCCAAUUAUGAAAGAAUUAAGAUUUGAAGGACUGAGGUAAGGGUGAAAUUUUACUCUUAAUUGAGUAGCUUAACCAAGUCAAGCCACAGAUUAGCUGAAGCCAAAAAGUACUGGCAGCAUUUGAAAUAAUUGAGAACAUAUUAUACUCAACACUUUAUUAUCUAAGAGAGGCACUUGAAGUUGAGACCUAGAAAUUUGAUUCUGGGAUCUUUGUUUCUAAGGGGCAGGGUGAACCCAGCUAUAGCAUUCACAGAUGCUAUAGAAUUAUAUAUAUUCUAUAUAUAAUUAUAUAUAUUACAUUCAUAUUAAUAUAUGUUAAUAUAUUCUAUAUUAUUCAUAUAGAAUUCACAGAUAAUCCAAGUGCUUUUUUAAUUCAUUGAUACCAAAUCUCUCCUGCUCUCAAAAUAAAAGCCCAAGGUGAAAAUUUUUGAUUAGGCUGUAUCUGCAAAUUCAUAGUGCAUGGCAUGAUGGGUACUCUACAUUCCUCCUCCUAUUACACUCACUGUGCCCAGGUGAACCUAAAGUCACCAGUAAUAGUGCUAAUGUAGUAAUGGGCCCAAGCUUCAAAAGAAGGAAAAUUAAUAUUCAGUAUUUAAAUGUGGGAAAGAGGAAGAAUAUGGAAAUUAUCAAUUUUAUAAUACCUAUACAUAUUCUUCCCUGCAUUAAUGCAAAUAGACAUCAAUGAUAAACAGAAUAAUGCCCCAUAAAGAUGUCUACACUGUAAUCUCCAAAACCUAUAACUAUACUAUAUCACAUGGCAAGAGGGAAUUAAGGUUACUAAUCAGCUGACCUUGAGAUGGGAGAUUCUCCUGGAUUGUAUGGGUGGGCCCAAUGUAAUCACAGAGUCCUUAUAAAUGAAAAAGGCAGACAGGAGAUUCAGUGUCAGGCUGAUACAAUGAGGGAAAGACUACCAACAGUUGAUGGCUUUGAAGACAGAAGAAGGGGGCGAUGAGCCAAGAAAUGUGAGUAGCCUCUAGAAGCUGAAAAAGGCAAGAAAACGGAUUCUUCCCUAGAAUCUCCAGAAACGCAGCCCUGCCAAUGUUGUGAUUUUAACUCAGUGAGAUGCAUUUUAGACUUCUGACAUCUAGAAUUGUGUUGUUUUUAGCCCUCAAGUUUGUGGUAAUUUGUUACAGCAGCAUUAAGAAAAUGUACAAUGACCAUGUGCAGGGCCUCAUGCCUGUAAUCCCAGCAGUUUGGGAGGCCAAGGUGGGUGGAUCGCUUGAGUCAAAGAGUUCGAGACCAGCCAGGGAAACAUGGUGAAACCUUGUCUCUACAAAAACACAAAAAUUAGCCUGGCGUGGUUGUGUAGACCUGUAGUCCCAGCUACUCUGGAGGCUGAGGUGGGAGGAUGGCUUAAACCUAGAAGGUGGAGAUUACAAUGAGCCAAAAUCAUGCCACUGCACUCCAGCCUGGACAAUAGAGCCAGAACUUGUCUCAAAAAAAUGAAAAAGAAAAGAAAAGAAACUAUACAAUGCUCCUGUGAUUCUAGUGCUAUGUACAUAUAUCCUUUAUAGGGAAUUAAGGAGGUUAUAGACACAACCAGAAGAGGAGGCAUGGAAUAGACUAAUGUAUAAUGGAUAAGAAAGUGUAUCUUUUACAACUUCUCUGUAAAAACACCUUCACCUACUUUAUGAGUUUGCCUCAGCUGCCAUAACAAAAUAUCAGACCAAGUGGUUUAAAUAACAAUUUAUUUUCUCACAGUUCUGGAGGCUAGAAGUUUAAGAUGAAAGUGCCAGCAGGUUUGGUUUCUGGUGAAGUCUCUCUUCCUUGCUUGCCAAUGGCCACUUUCUCACUGUGUCUUCAAAUGUCCUUUCCUCUGAGUAUGUGAGGAGAGAGAGGUUUGAUGCCUCUUCACCUUCUUAUAAGGGCACCAGUCCUACUGGAUUAGGGCUCCACCCUUAUGACCUCAUUUAACCUUAAUUACCUCCUUAAAGGUUCUAUCUCCAAAUACAGUCACAUUUGGAGUCAGGCCUUCAACAUAUGAAUUUUGAGAGGACACAUUUCGGUCUAUAACACCUAGAUGGAAGGCAAUUUCAUAUAAAGAUGAUAUGCAGUCUAUGACAGCAGAGUAGCUAGUGGAAAUCACAACCCCUAAUUCUAUUGUUAUGUCAUUCCCUAAGCCCAGGUCUCAUGUAGAUAUAGCAUUGUUCAGGGCUAUCUCUUUGCUGUUCUUUUUUUUUUUUUUUUUUUUUUCAGACUCACACAAGCAAUGUGGAGAAGGAACAUGAAAACAUCUUUGAGACAGAGCAUAAUACAGAUGUCAAUCUCUUUGUAAAUAAGCAAUUAAAGGUGGGACCACUGUCAAACAUGUGAGAAGAGUGAGUGGCUAUUGCUGGAUAUUUUUAAAUACACAUAAAAUGUGGUAUAAAUGGUAGAAUGCCAGGGAUAAAAGGAAUAUUUUAUAAGUUACCUAGUCAAGGUUCCGGCUUCUGGGUGGAAAACUAUCUACACUCAGCCAGAUAAUCAGUUUCGACUAAAUCAGGAAAACAUGGAAUCAUCUUUAUCUAGGUAGUGUUACAGUUAAAUUGCCUCAUUUAUCUACACAUCAGGAAAUUCUUUCUCAUUGCUAAUAUUUAUCAUUCUUAUAGCAUAAGCAAAUGUUUUAAUUCUAUUAUGGUAAAGAUAAAGAUUCUGUAAUUAAAACACUUUAAUCUGGAAAGACAGCAGUAAACCCUUCAAGCAAAAGCCCCAGUAGAUUCAAAAAUUAUAACCAGAGAGGUUAAAGGUAAACCAAUAGAGUGAUAUGUUACAGCAACUGAGGGAGAGAGGCAGGAAUUUUUUAAAAGAGAGAAGAGGAAUUAUAACAACAGAAACAGGUUAGCCAGCUGCCAAUUUAGAUGAGCAUAAUGAGUCCCUUAGAUAGAUCAUUGGUGACUUUUAUCAAAACACUAUCAGUGGAGUUGUGGGAGUGUUAGGCUGACUAUAAUGGAUUGAGGAAUUAAAUAGUGAUGAACCCAAAACAGAAAGUCUGAAGAAAUUCCCUUUGAGCCAAAAAAAAAAAAAAAAAAGGCCAGGUGCAGUGGCUCACACCUGUAAUCCCAGCACUUUGGGAGGCCAAGGUGGGAGGAUCACCUGAGGUCAGGAGUUCAAGACCAGCCUGGCCAACAUGGUGAUGCUACUAAACAUUGUCUCUACUAAAAGAUACAAAAAUUAGCCAGGAGUGGUGGCAGGCAACUUAAUCCCAGCUACUUGGGAGGCAGAGGCAGGAGAAUUGUUUGAACCCGGGAGGUGGAGGUUGCAGUGAGCUGAGAUCAAGCCAUUGCACUCAAACCUGGGGGACAAGAGGGAGACUUCUCUCAAAAAAAACCAAAAAAUUCCCUUUGAGCAUCUUUGCUGUAGAGAUGAAAUAAGAGAGAAGUGGAUUCUUUAGUAUAGAGACGGAAAGGUAUGGAACUAGAACAUGUGGGUUGUGAACAGUGGCUAAUUAAACCAGGACCAGUAACCUAGAUAUCACAUUGGACUUAAUUGCUGGGUUAUUCAUUCAUUCAGGCAACAUGUAUUUGUUGAGAGGCUGAAUGUGCCAGGUAAUAGAGACACAAAGGUGGUUAAAAUAGACCUUGGCCUCUGUCUUCAGGAAGCUUCCAGUCUGAAGAGGGAUGAAGAUACAUAUUAAUCAAAUAAUCCCACAAAUGCAGGUAUAAUCUGCAUAAACUGACAAAUAUAUCUACUUUGGUGUGAAGAAAUUAAGAGAAAUAACUGAUGUGAUCAGUGAACAAGUAAGAUUUAUUAGGAAGAUGGAAGGAUGACAUUAUUUCAAAUAUAUUGCAGGAAACCCCAACCAUAGUAACAACAUCAGGCCUAUCUUUACAUAUGUUUAAUAAUGCUUAACUUCACUUUUGCUCCUAUCCUCCCCAAAGCAAUCUUCAAGAUCUUCUCUAUCUUUGUUUUAUUUUCUUUGUUCUUUUUUGUCUCAUUUCCUAUACUGUUUUUAUUCCAUACUUUGACAGUUCAGUGAACUCCUUUGAUAGAUUCCAAGUCCUCCUUUUUCAAUAUUUACAGUUAUAAUCAUUUUUGAUCACUCCAAAACAGAGAACUUUGAGUGUAGAUUUUCUAGGCUUCUUAUUUUAUUUUUAGACAUUAUAUAGAAAAAUUAGAGGGAAGGGAAAAGAAGGAUGGCAACAUGGUAACUGGGACAGUGUUCAAAAGGUCCAAGUCCUACUUCUCACUCCAUAAAAUUACCUGCAGUUGUUUUAUUUUUGAGACAGGCUCUUAUCUCUCACCUAGGCUAGAGUGCAGUGGCAUAAUCAUAGCUCACUAUAACCUUGAACUCCAGGGCUCAAGGGAUCCUUCCAUUUCAGCCUCCUGAGUAGCUGGGACUAUAGCUGUGUGCCACUACACACAGCUAGUUUUUUUAUUUUUUUUAUUUUCAUAGACACAGGGUCUCACUAUGUUGCUCAGACUGGUCUUGAACUCCUGGCCCCAAGCAAUCCUCCUGCCUUGGCCUCCCAAAGUUCUAGAAUUGUUACAGGAAAGAGGUCCCAAUCCAGGCCCAAAGAGAUUUUAUUUAUGUACUAGUGUGGAGCCUAGCCUAGGACACAUCAAGCAGAAGUGCAGAUAAGGUCUGACUCUUUCCAGUACAGCUAGGGUGCCUGGCUCUCCACAUGUCCCCAGGCCUUAUCUAGAAUCUAAUGUCUCCAAGGUAGGUACAUUGAACAAUUUUCAAAAGUCAAGGAAGCAGUUUAUGACCUUAAAGCAUUUAGCAAACUUACUAUCUGACCUGCCUAAUUUAGACCAAAUGUUUACAUUUUUGAAGAUAUUUUUAUCAGUAAUCUUUAAAACCAUUUUUUUAUUUUCCAAAGAUUACUUAAGUCAAAUGAACUAAAAGGCAUUACACAUUUUACUUUUCUGAUGAAAUAUCUGAUUUAAGCACUUAUUAUUUUUAAACCAAUUAAAGCUUUUUUAUAUCACACACACAACCCAUAUAAAUACACAGACAGGCCGGGUGCAGUGGCUCACACUUGUAAUCCCAGCACUUUGGGAGGCCAAGGCAGGUGGAUCAUGUGAGGUCAGGAGUUUGAGAGCAGCCUGGUCAAUGUGGUAAAACCCCAUCUCUACUAAAAAUACAAAAAUUAGCUGGGCAUGGUGGAGGAUGCCUGUAAUCCCAGCUACUCAGGAGGCUGAGGCAGGAGGAUAGCUUGAACCCAGGAGGUAGAAGUUGCAGUGAGCCAAGAUUGUGCCACUGCACUCCAGGCUGGGUGACAGAGGGAGACCCUGUCUCAAAAACUUAAUAAAUAAAUACACAGAAGAAGAUAAAGGACUUAUCCCCUAAGGCAGGAAUCAAACCCUGAACACAGGCCACCAUUGUUAAAAGAAAAAGCACGGCCACAUGGUUACAAGGUCAAGCUCCCAAGGAAAUACAAAACAAGAAGGAAACCUCAUCCAGUUUUUUCAGGGACCUGCAGCAAAGUUUGUAACUGAUCAGUUUACUGGGCCAUCUUGAACAGCAGGCUUACAGGUGUCCUAAGCUCAUGUUCUAUCCUAAGAUACCCCUCUUUAUGACAGAAUAAUACAGAAAGACAAACAACAGAUUUGCUACAACUUAAAACUAGCCUCAUAAAUCCAUUUUUUCACUAAUCAAAACUUUACAGAGGAAAUGAACAGUGAUUUUUGCCAUCCAUUCAACAAGUUUUAUAGAGAGAGAGGAAAGCAUUGCCUGAGGCAGGGUGAGGAAGGCCCGGCACUCUGAGUGCCAGAGAAAGCCCCACCCAUUGCAGCAACACUGAAAAGUUCAUGCGGCUGCUUGUCAGUCAUGAACGGAUUUUUUCCAGCAGUCCCAUCAGCUCUCAAGUUUCCCUUCUUAGGGAGGGAAAAGCUCCCCAUGUUCUAAAAUCCUGUACAUGCCUAAUUCUGUCAACCAUAGCCAUCAGCAAAGAGUGCAAGGCAGAUCAAUCCAAAGAGAAUAGCGGUUAACAUCCUGUAAUGCCAAACCUGUUCUUAGCCGAAAGGGACUUUAAGGAGAGGGACUUUACUGAGAGGGGCCUCUAACCCCCUAAAUCUUAUAAGGGACUCUAAUCCUCCUAAGUUGGGCCUCUAACCCAAUGUCAGUCAAGCAUCCUUGCCUUUUAUUGAGAGGAAGCUUUAACCCUCUCUUAGGAGAGACUCUAACUCCCCUAAGUUGAGCUCUAACCAAUCCCAUCCUUUGCCUGAGUACCCCACCACUUACCCAAAGUUGUCCAAUUAGUAACGCAGUCUAUUUCCUUUGUGUUGGGGGGUCUCCUCAGUAUCAUCCCUUCGAGUUUCACCAGAAAGAUGUUACCAGACCCCACCACUUACCCAAAGUUAGCCUUUGGAUCGGGGGUUUCUGCAUUAUAGUCACUUCAGUGGUUGCCAGAAAGAUGUUAUAGGACCCCCAACACUUACCCAAAGUUAACCUUUGGGUCAGAUAUUUCUGCAUGAUAGUCCCUUCUGUGAUAGCCAGAAAGAUGUUAUAGGAAAGGGGUCCUGAUCCAGGCCCCCAGGAGAGGGUUCUUGGAUCUUGUGCAAGAAAGAAUUCAGGGUGAGUCCGCAGUGCAAAGCAAAACCAAGUUUAUUAGGAAAGUAAAGGAGUAAGAGAAUGGCUACUCCAUAGACAGAGUAGCCGCAAGGGCUGCUGGUUGCCCAUUUUUAUGGUUUUUUCUUGGUGAUAUACUAAACAAGGGGUGGAUUAUUCAUGCCUUCCCAUUUUAGACCAUAUAGGGUAACUUCCUGACAUUGCCAUGGCAUUUGUAAACUGUCAUGGCGCUGGUGGGAAUGUAGCAGUGAGGACGGCCACACUAAUGUGUUUUAAACCUUUUCCCCAGCCAAACUACAUAAAAGCAAAAAUUACUUUGUUUCAAUAUUACCCCUAGUGGCUAACACACUAGCAGGUCAUCAGAAUAUUUGCCAUUCCUACAAAAUUCCAAGAUUCUGUGAUGAUCCUUUGAGUAUAAGAAUCACAGAGAUACACACAAUUGUUACAUGCUUUCUUUAAGUUAUCUUUGUUAUAUUUUCUCUUUAUACCCCCCACCCCAUUUCCUGACUCCUUCUUUUUAAACGGUCUUUGGGAUCAUGAAAGCAAAAUGCAGCAUCCUCAGUGUCACAUGCAUCCAUGUGAAGAGACCACCAAACAGGUUUGUGUGAGCAAUAAAGCUUUUUAAUAACCUGGGUGCAGGCAGGCUGAGUCUGAAAAGAGAGUCAGCAAAGGGAGAUAGGGGUGGGGCAGUUUUAUAGGAUUUGGGUACGUAGUGGAAAAUUACCGUCAAAGGGAGUUGUUCUCUGGCAGGCAGGGGUGGGGGUCACAAGGUGCUCAGUGGGGGAGCUUCUGAGCCAGGAGAAGGAAUUUCGCAAGGUAAUGUCAUCAGUUAAGGCAGGAACCAGCCAUUUUCACUUCUUUUGUGAUUCUUCAGUUGCUUCAGGCCAUCUGGAUGUAUAUGUGCAGGCUUGGGCUCAGAGGCCUGACACUCAGCAGCUACUGCCACCAUUGGCACCACUGGCACCACUGCCGCCACCCCACCACACCCCAGUUGCUUCACUCUCUAUCACAGAAGCCUUUUCAGCAACAGCCAACGUUUGUACCCUCACCAAGCCCUCUGAUUUUCCCAAUCACAAGGCCUUCAUUACAAUAUUUUCUUCAUUCACAAGUGUCACCUAUUCUCCAUCCCUAAGGUAAGUAAAUUCUAAUUUUUUUGCAAGGGUUGACAGAGGUAAAUCCUGUCCAGAUACCCCAUAGAUGUUUCAUCUUGGCAAUUCUUGACUCUUACAAGGAAAUAAUAAUAGUCAAAUAUAACUAAGUAAAAUAAAUAAGAAUAUAUAAGGUCUGUAAACCAAAAAUAAAAUUCUAAGCCCCCCAACCAACUGAAUGGACCCCUCCUCUCAGCCAAGGGCAUUCUAAAGUUAACCUGAAAGACUAGUUCAGGCCAUGAUGGAAAUGGCUGGUCAGGCAUGCCUCAUUAUAUCCUCCUCCCUUUGGAAUUUAGGCACAAAAGACCAACAUUAACAUUAAAACAGAGACCUUAAGAUUGACAAAGCAGUCUCUUUGUAGCAAUAAGAUAUGAACACAACAGAUAGCAGGCCCCAAAAUAUAUUUAUUCAACAUAUUUUUAAAUGGCUCUGCAAAGCUGUCUCUUGUGGGGAAACCUACAUUCUGUAGAGAAUGCCCUUCCCUUUCCAGAUCUUUUCGCUUAUCCAGGAGAGAAUUAACUAAGAGUCUGGUACCUUUUUAAGUCUGAUAAGAAACAUUUACAAUCUAUUCUCUCUGAAGCCUGCUACCUGGAGGCUUCAUCUGCAUAAGAGCCUUAGUCUCAGAAGCCCCUUAUGUUAAUGCAGAUACUCCCUUCUAUUGACUUCAAGACUUUAAUCAGAAAAUCUCUGAGUCUAACUAUGACCUGGAAGCCCCCACUUUGAGUUGUCCCACAUUUUCAGACCCAACCAAUGUACAUCUUACAUGUAUUGAUUGAUGUCUUAUGUUUCCCUAAAAUGUACAAAACCAAGCUGUAGCCUGACCACUUUGGGUACAUGUUCUCAGGUCUCUUGGAGCUGUGUCAUGAGCUAUUGGUCACUCAUAUUUACUUGGCUCAGAAUAAAUCUCUUCAAAUAUUUUAUAGAGUUUGACUCUCUGUGGACAAGUCCUAGUUUUAAAACAGUUUUUAUUUCAUUUAUUUAUUUUGAGAUGGGGUCUUCCCUCUGUCACCCAUGUUGGAGCGCAGUGGCACAAUCUCAGCUCACUGUAACCUCUGCCUCCCAGGCUCAGGUCAUCCUGCCACCUCAGUCUCCCAAGUAGCUAGAACCACAUACGUGUGCCACCAUGCCCGGCUAAUUUUUUGUAUUUUUGAUAGAGAUGGGGUUUCUCCAUUUUGCCCAGGCUGGUCUCAAACUCUCUAAGCUCAGGCAAUCCACCUGCCUCAGCCUCCCAAAAUGCUGGGACUACAGGCAUGACCCACAGCGCCCAACCAAAAUGACUUGAUUUUAGACAAGAGGUGAGAAAUUUUUUUCCUCAAAGGGCCAGACAGUAAGUAGAUUAGGCCAUGGUUUCUCAACCUCAACAGUAUCCACAUUUUGGGCCAGAUAAUUCUUUGUUGUGGAGUGCUUUCCUUUUCACUGUAGGGUAUUUAACAGCAUCCCUGACUUCUACUCCCUAGGUGCCAAUAACAUCUUAUUCUCAGUUGUGAAAACAAAAACAUUUUCCAGACAUUUCUAGAUGUCCCAUAGGAGGUAAAAUUGCCCCGAGGUGAGAAUAACUGGUAUAGACUUUGCAUUCCAUAUGCUAUCUGUCACAACUACUCAGCAGUGCCAUUAUAGCACAAAAGCAGCCAUAGACAAUAUGAAAAUGAAUGGACAUGGUACUUUCCCAAUAAGUACUAUGGAAACUGAAAUUUAAAUUUCAUAUAAUUUUCAAAUGUAAUAAAAUAUUCCUUUAAAAAUUUAAGCAUUUAGAGAUGGAAAACCCAUUGUUAGCUUGUGGGACAAACAAAAACAGGUGGUAAGCCAUAGCUUUCCAACUCCUAUUUGUUUUAUUUUUGAAAGUUUAGUAAUAUAUGUAAUUUAAACCGCUGUAUCCAAAUAAUAUUAUUUUAACAUGUGGUAAUUAUAAAAAUCAAUUCAUAAAUUCAGUAUGUAUUUUACAUUUACAAUACAUCUCAAUUUGGACUAGCCACAUUUUAGGUACUCAAUAGUCAUAUAUGGCUAGUAGCUACCAUAUUGGGGCCAUGAUGCCCUAGAGUAUUUGCUUUUAAUUAUUAGGCAUACUUCCUCUCAAGAGGCCCUAGUCAUUGGGAACAUGAGGUCACUUUCUCUUUGAAAGUAAAAGCCUCUAAGUCCUGUUAUUGAUCUAAACUCACAAAAAAAAAAAAAAAACUGAAAGUAAGGUUUAAAAGACCACCAUGACAAUAUUUAUCCAAUUUGUGACUGUAUUUCUGAUUGGCAAUUCAAAAUUUUAUUUGGCUUAGUAAUUUUUCUUGCUAUCUUGAAUAGAAUUAAUCCCAGAAGGUCUGGUAGACAAUGAGUGUUUUGGUGUAACUGGGUUUCUUUAUGUACAAAGCUACAGAAUUCUCCUUGAAGACACUGGCCUUGACAUCCCUGAAACAGCAAAAUCGACUUUUUUGUUUACUCCACGUGUAGUAUAUGACAGUUAGUGCACUGUAGAUAGGGCCAUCUAUUGAAAUCUACAUGUGAUUAUACUCUAUUGAACAUCUACUUUAAAACAGCAAACAUGAGAGCCUACAAUUGACAUCUCAUUGUUUUAAAAAAACAAUUUCACAUAUAUAUUCACAAACAUACUAAAGUGGUCAAUAUUCAAAGCAAAUAGUAAAGACUCAGAUAUUCCUCACUUUACACCAUGGUUUACUUAAAUAAUACAAGUACCCCAACAACCCAGUUUAAAUUUCAGUUGCCAUGGUAUAUUGACUGUGAUAUUAAAUAAAGUACAAAUUUCACUGCUAGGUUUUCAGUAUGUAAAUUACUAUACAACUAACAGAUGUGCAUCAUGAUCAAUUAUGAAUCACAUCACUUCUUUCACAGUCUUUGGUGACUGGUCACUUAUCAGCUAUUCAGUACAUGUGCAGAGAACAAACCAUGUGUUUGUGUUGCCUCUUUGUCUGCCAGUGAUAAACCCAAGUGAUAUUUAACAAAAACAUAUAAUGAAAGAGGGAAUUGGCCAAUAAAAAUGAAAGCUCAAGAAAGAAACUAAAAGUCACAAUGCUGGAAAUGAAAUUCAACUCAAAGGUAAAUGAAGUUAUAGAGGAAAUAGCUGACUGUGGGAAUGUUGACACUUCCACUGGUUGGAAAGGCUAUAUAGAUAUGAAGCCAGAGGAACUUAGUUAAAGCAGACAUUGACAUAAAUGAGGAAUUUGGUUGUGACAAGCAAUGCCUAUUUUAGACUGAUGGCUUGUAUCCUCAUUAGGGACUGUCAGUAUACCAAAAGAAUGGGUGUUAAGUCUAGGAAAAUUAUAAUACAUCAUUAUGUUGACUUUUAGUUCCCAAGAUUUCCUAUAAUUACUGUUUUCAGUAUUUAGAUAUUACUGCUAAUGGUAAAAUGGCCUAUGAGUAGAAAAUAUGAAAUUUACAUUUCUCUUUAUCCAAAUUUCCUAGUGGAACCCUGCCCCUAACAAUGUUUACCACUUCUUACUGUCCAUUUUCACAGAUAUGGGGGACAUGAUUACAUGCCCUCAACCCAUAUGUUUUCUAGGUAACUCUACCACAGAAUAAAGCGGUACUCAAAUUACUCUCAGCUUGCUUAAUAUCCACUUUAGGACACUGAAAAACAAACACAAAGGGACUAAACAAGAUGAACAGUACGUAUCCCAUUUCUUUUAAGUCCACUAUCUUGAUAUCAUGAGGCCCCCUCACUGGUUUUAUGUAGAUGGGCUACUGGAAUGCAUAAGCUAGUGCCAAUUCUUAUUUUCCAAAAAUGUUAAAAGAUUAACAUAGGAUGGGAGGAGAGUGAGGAUCAAAAAAUCUACCUAUCAGGUACUAUGCUCACUACCAGUGUAAUGAAAUCAUUUGUACAUCAAACCCCAUGACACACAACUUACCCAUGGAAAUUUACCCAUUGGGUUUUGCUGCAAAAGUACCCCUUGAACCUAAAAUAAAAGUUGGAAGAAAAAAACUUAACAUAGCAAAUUCUUAGACAUCGUUCUGACUUGUUUGCAAGACCUAUGCUUUCUUCCUAAGCUGGUGCUGGAUAGUUCUUUUGACUUUUUUCAUUAUCGAUCUUCUCUCUCCCUAGCAUUGCCACCAAGGGAAACUAUUUCAUGUAAGACAUUCUUUUCCCUCCAGCCAUCUGGUUGGCCCUAAUUUCUCUGAGCACAUCUUUCCCACCUGUAUUGUGAACCAUAGAGCAGGCCUAAGGGAAGGUUAUAAAGAAGGUAAGGUUGGUCUGUAUUGUCUCAGUCUCUUUUAAUAUCUAUUCCCUUGUGUAUGGUACUCCUUCUUCUCAGAGACUCCUGUUCUCUAGCUUCUUCAUAAUCAGCUUUCAAAAUAGGAUCUGCUGUCAGCAAUUUAUCCCUUUAGUGUUAGGAUGGUAAAUAAAUUUUUUCUUGCAUGCCAACUCUAAAUUAUUAGUAGCAGCCACCUGAAAUGCUAUGUGAAGGAUUCUGGGGAUGCAUCCAGUUGAAUUAGUUAUGAGAAGAAAAACUGGCUACUAUAGGAAAGAGAAUCAACAAUUCAAUGGAUUAAACAAAAAGAAUGUUAAUUAUUUCUUACAUGACAGUAUCAAUGUAAAAAGUUCAAAUCAGAGAGGGAAUUCUGUUUCUUAGUCAUUCAGGGACUUGAUUUCCUUCCAAGUCAUUGUACUUUCAUCUCAUAGAGAAUCACUCUCAUCUGUAUACUGAAACUGGGUAGUCAUUACAUCCAAGUUGCAGCUGGUGGGAGAAAGUAUGGAAAGGAGAGCAUACCCUAUGUCUUAGGACCCAGGCGUGGAAAUGGCACACAUCAUUUCUACUCACAUUUUAUUGAUCAUAACAAUCAUUUGGCUACACAGAACUGCAACAGAAGCUGAGAAAUGUAGUCUAGCUGGGCAGCCGCACAUCAAGCAAGAAUGGGAGAAUGUAUUUUGCUGGGCAACGAGCAGUUUUUUCCUUACUAGGCUUAACAGGAAUCAAUGCUGUAAUUAAUUAAUGAAAUUUUCCACGAGUUGGAAAAAAACUGUGGCAUCCACCCAUAUUAUGGUAUUAGCUGAUCUUGCCUUAAGUGUGAAAUGGAAGUCUUGUUUUCUUUCCUAGAGGGUUCUGAAGUUUAAAUAUACUUCAAAAAAAUUUGACAGACAUUUUCUACUAUGAGAAAGGUACUUUUGUUAGGUACAAAAAUAAACUAGUCCUUGCUUUAUCACUUAUUGUAGAAUCAAAGAUUCAUCUCCAGAUAAUGGAAUUUCAGACAUCAGCUACCAAGGAGGGAAAAUAUAGGCUUGGGAAAGAAGGCCUUCUUGUAUGAAAUCACACCACACAGGCACUAGACAGCUCUACUUAUAUAAAGUUUAGCUCUAUAAAAAUGAGAUUGGGGUGUUUCAGAGAUCUUAUUAGGAAAUGUACAGAGAAAACAGUUGAUGCGGCAAAAGCUAUAAACACUAAGGUGAGAAGGAAUCAGAAUAUAAGCAAGAGUUAUAGAAGCAUCUAAAUGGCAUUUGUAUCUGUUUAAUCAGCCUAUCAGGUAAAUCUGCCCACUUUUCUCCCUACCAGUGAACAUCUGUUUUGAACCUCUAGGAUAUGGGACUUCUUGCUUGAUACCAGAGUCUUUCUGUGCCUACCUAUUCUAAAGCCUGAUGUCAACUUCUGUGCCUUCCCUUAUAGGCUUAUUUCCUUCAACACUGACCAUUCCUCCAGCAUUUCUUAUUCUAAAGAUGAACAGGUAAAGAAACUUCGUUGGAGGGAAAAUUAAGCAGGGAUUGGCAUUAGAGAGGGAGCUGUGCACAGUCCCUGUCUCAACAAAAAUAGCUUAAGAUGAGACAAGUACUUUACUUAGCAUAAUCUUGCUACUGAAGGGGCUAUUCUAAAUGUCUCCCCGCCCAACACCAUUAUGUAAACAUUCUCUAAUAUUCGGUACUUAACUUAGAUAAUCCACCCUUCCUUCUGGCCAUUGCAUUCCUUAUGUAGCAAUGCAGGAAAAGGGCAAGAAAUCAAAGGGAAGGAAUAAAGGGACUUCUGAUUCCAGACUGUAUUUUGAAGGGAAGUCAUGGUUGGUUAGCGAUUUUCUUUAGCUUUUGCUUUGCCUUUGCAGAAUAGCUAAUAUUAUUGUUUUACCUAUGGGAACUGGUAUCCAAUCUAGUGCCUAAUGGGGCUGUUGUUACUAGAGCUAUUUUCUGUGAACCUCAUAGCAGACUCUCUUCUGCUGAAAAUGAGAUUUACUAUUCAUUCUGGGUUCUCUCAAAAGCCAGCCUGCCAUCUACAAUUAGCGGUCACAUCCAUUUGGCUAUAGUUCAGGUAAGUCCCAUACUUCAUGUCCUGCUUCUCAGCUCUCUGCUGCUCAGAGCCAAAAACCCUAUCUUAGAACCCCAAAAUACAUGUCUAGUUGCUGUAUCAAAGACCAGGUAGCAGCCUUUACAGAAAGUCCCUUUUCUCAGAAUCUAGUUGAGCCAAUACUAGGCAGUGUCCACUAUAUUCUUCUUGGUUCAUUCUCUUUCUUUUGGAGGCAACAGCUUACUAUGGUGAGGACAACUGGAACCCAUCUCUACCUAUUCACCACUUUUUAAGUAGUAAAAGUGGUAGCUCAAAAGUAACUUUCUUCCCUGCUAAGUCUCACUCUUUCCAAUUAUUAUUCAAACAUGAGAGGUGACAGUGAGAAGAUUGGUUUGGCAUUAUAGGAUGGUACCAUGCAAGGUACUCUAACAACCUGCCUUCUCUCUCAUGGUCUAUCUCCCCGCAGAUUCAGGUUGCAUCAGCUGUCCUCCUAUGUCCACAAUGCAAAUGCUAUGUGAUACUAUGGCAGACAAGUUUUCCAGUUCUUCAGGAAGUAGCAACUGUGAGUAUUCUAGCUCACAAUGGGAGGAGCACAACCACUGGACUCCAGCCAUGAGCAAAUACAAGUAAAGGUUUAACUGAGACUGUCUGCUCCCCAGUUCUCCAACCCCUGCCUACCCCAAGCCCCUUUUUGUCUUGAUUUAUAGUAGAAAAGUAAUAGUCGGCCGGGCGCGGUGGCUCACGCCUGUAAUCCCAGAACUUUGGAAGGCCGAGGCAGGUGGAUCACCUGAGGUCAGGAAUUCUAGACCAGCCUGGCCAACAUGGUGAAACCCUGUCUCUACUAAAAAUACAAGAAAAAAAUUAGCUGGGUGUGGUGGCAGGCACCUGUAUUCCCAGCUACUCAGGGGGCCGAGGCAGAAGAAUCAUUUGAACCCAGGAGGCAGAGGUUGCAGUGAGCUGAGAUUGCACCAUCGCACUCCAGCCUGGGUGACAAGAGCGAGACGUCAUUUCAAAAAAAAAAAAGAAAACAGAAAAAGAAAAGUAAUAGUCAACAAAAUGGAUAUAAAAAGAGAGGUAACAAUGGGAAACUACAGGGGGGCAAAUUAAUACUUUUAUAGUUUCAGCAGACCUGUAGUAAUAGAAGAAAAACUGACUUUCACUUGGUUCAGACUAUCUCCCUGGGCUAGAAAGUAUAGGGCCAAGGUAGAGGAAUCGGAAGUAAUGAAUUAUCUUCCUGUGUCUUCCUUUAAGUAGUUCACAUUGCUCCCAUUUAGGUACCAGUUAAUAGUCAUAAUUACUAUAAUCCCUCUCUUUGGAUAUUCCCUAAGACUUUAUUUCCUCGUGAGCAUAAAGACAUAAAAUAGUACACUGGAGGUUAGCUAUGAUUAGGAAGAGCCAUUCUAACUGUAAAUUACUCAUAAUCCAUGCUCUUUCCUGAUGAGCAUGUAUCCGUUAUAAAAGAGGCUAUGAUAAUAUACAGUGAGAAAAGAAUUCGUUUAGAAAUUAAGUGAAUUUGGAUCUAGGGUCACCUCAGCUAUUUUGCACUGUGACAUUGAUCAAGUUAUUUUCUCUGGGUUUCAGAUGCCUCAUCUUUAUUUUGUGCAUUUAGAUACACCAAUUCUAAUUGGCCCAAUGGGAAUUACACAGCUAACACCAUCAUGCAGCAAAACAAAAUAAAAUACAGUGGAACUGAAGUGAGGGAGUAAAACCACCACACUAUGCAGAUGAGACUAUCUGCCUAGUAACAAGACAUUUCUUGGACUCUGGUACUUCAGCCAAAUGUCCUCUGGGGGUGGAGCGGCGGGAGACAAUAUAGCCCACUGCCAGAUAGAACCCACAUCUGUUCCACCAUUCUCAUUGUCAUUGCGUUUCCUGGGAUACUUUCAGAAUAAUUCAUUAGUAACAAAACAAAACAAAACAGCAAGGAAAAGGCUACAAGGGGAAGGGUUUUUCUAGGUCUUUGGGAUAUAUCUAAUCAUUUCUUCACAGAAUAUUAUAAAGUAGGGUCCACUCAAAGCUCAUCCCUCACAAGCCACCCAAUCUUUGACAUUCUUCUUCUAUUUAAUAUGAGUCUGUCUAAGAUUUUUUAAAAUCCUGCCUGCAAAGUCUGCUUAUGAAUUUUUUUCCUUACCACGGAGUUCCCAAAAAAUGACAGGUUCUGCCUAAGUAGUUAGCUACCUGCAAGGCUGCUCGAAUCCAACUUUCUUUCCCACUCUACUUUGCAUUCUGCUGUCCCUUUGCUCUCCUCUCCUUAGGCCCUCAAGUGAUGCCAGCUUUUGUUUUAGCACUCUAGAAAGGAGUUACUAUUUUGAUCCAGCGUACAUAGGGAAGCGAAACCGGAGUGGGUAAAAGGAAGCUCGUCACUGGGAAUGCUGGUGCUGGGAGAAAGACUGUGGCAAACCCAGGAAAUACUAACAAUAAGGACCCCUCAAAAGUUCACCUUUACCAAGCUAAUGGAAACAAUAUAGCUGAGUGGGGUUUGAAUUUUGAGACCUAAUGACUCCUCAGCUACCAUGUAAUUGCCUUGGUGCUCCAUUUGCUAUAAUUCAUGGGAAAGGUACUAAGGUACUUCAACUGGUUUUCCUUGCUACCUCCACCUUUUUCAGAAGUUGGACCUAUGACUAGCACACUUCCUGCCUACCCAUUCACAGUGAAGAGAAUGGCUGGUUAAAUUUUAGACCCCAUUUAAAUUAUUCCACUUCGAAAUUUGAAUGAUAGAUGCUUGCCUAAGUCUACUAGCCUCAGUAACAUUACCUUUUCUCAUGACCAAGGGUAAAAGAGUAAACUGAUAGGAGGCACAAGUUUUUGUGAAUGUGGGUUGGGCUGGCACCAAAUCCAACUACAAGCAUACAGUGAUCACUUCAUACACACCACAUAAAAAAUACAAAAACUGAAAAAUACUAUCAAAUGCUUUGAAAUUUUCUAAAUAUUUCUGCUGCCCCUAUAAAACUGCCUUGUCUGACCUUUCCUCACUAACCAGGAGAUAUGGUGUUUUUCAUUUCCUCUCCCUUCAAAUUUUACAAGAGAAUCAAGGAAUUUGAGGACCAAAGCACCACAAACACAAGGGUAAGCACAGCAAAUAUGACAAGGGGACUGAAGUAAGCCCCUGUGGGAAUAGGAUCUGCUGAAGGAAUCAAGAGGGAUGGACAGAGGAACAGAAUACACUCAAGAAUAACUUCAGGAAGUCUCCUUACCGCCUCACCUGCUUUCCCUCUGUCCUACACAUCCAGCCUUGCAAAGAAAUAGGAGUAAAGAGAAAAGUCCAUGUAGGACCAUCCCAGUUCAGAAGCAACCCCCAGGAUAUGGGUCAACUUUAUCACCUCAAACUCUACUCAUUUAUAAUGACAAAUUCAACUGUUAACACAUAGGUAAGAGUUCUUCAGGCAUCGGUUUUACAGGUACAUGUACUGGGAUGGGUGCGGUGGCUCACGCCUGUAAUCCUAGCACCUUGGGAGGCCAAGGCUGGUGGAUCACCUGAGGUCAGGAGUUCAAGACCAGCCUGGCCAACAUGGUGAAACCCAGUCUCUACUAAAAUACAAAAAUUAGCCGGGCAUGAUGGCGGGUGCCUGUAAUCCCAGCUAUUCUGGAGGCUGGGAUGGAAGAAUCACUUGAACCUGGGAGACAGUGAUUGCAGUGAGCCGAGAUCACACCACUGCACUCCAGCCUGGGUGGCUGAGCAAGACUCUGUCUCAAAAAAAAAAAAAAAAGAAAGAAAGAAAGUACAUAUACUGAAUAACCAUCUGGGCCCAUAACAGCUUAAGACUUUCCGGAGAAAAACAAAAAAAAAACAGUUUCCAGUUUAAUUUCCAACAAAGCAGUAGAACUCUUGCCAAUAGAAUACUGUGCUGGGGGCUGGGCACUGUGGCUUAUGCCCGUAAUCCCAGCACUUUGGGAGGCCGAGGCAGGUGGAUCAUUUGAGGUCAGGAUCUAGCCUGGCCAAAAUGGUGAAACCCUCUCUCUACUAAAAAUACAAAAAUUAGCCCGCUGCCAUGGUACACGCCUUUAAUCCCAGCUAUUCGGGAGGCUGAGGCAGAAUUGUUUGAACCCGGGUGGCAGAGGUUGCAGUGAGCCGAUCACGCCACCACACUCCAGCCUGGAGACAGAGCGAGACUCCGUCUCAAAAAGAAAAAAAAAAAAAGAAUACUGUGCUGGUUCAUUUGCCUAUAAAGUCACCAAUCUAAUGUUUUGGUAUUUGAUCAUUUAGAAUUCUAGAAACACUGAAGAUCCCUUUACCUACUCAGGGUCUGGGCCUCUUUCAUGAAUGCUUAAUUCCCACAGCCUUACAGUUUAUACCCUGCUCCUCUCCCACUUUUGAUCCUCAGUAGUUUUUUGCUUCUCACAUUUUUUAUUGGGUUUGUGCUUCUCAGUAUCCUUGACCAAAGCAACUGAUGCUGUAAGAAAUGAGACUUCAAACCAUUUAUCCACACUGGGUGAUUAAGGUAGUUUAAAAAAAGAAAGAAAUGAGGCCGGGCGCGGUGGCUCCCGCCUGUAAUCCCAGAACUUUGGGAGGCCAAGGCAGGUGGAUCACUUUAAGUCAGGAGUUCGUGACCAGCCUGCCCAACAUGGCAAAACCCCAUCUCUACUAAAAAUACAACCAUUAGCCAGGCGUGGUGGCUCGUGACUGUAAUCCUAGCUACUGGUGAGGCUGAGGCAGGAGAAUCGCUUGAACCCAGGAGGCAGAGGUUACAGUGAGCCAAGAUGGCACCACUGCACUCCAGCCUGGGCAACAAAGCGAGACACCAUCUCCAAAAAAAAAAAAAAAAAAGGAAGAAGAAAAGAAAAAAGAAAUGAAGACCUUAGGGUAAUUAGUGUGGUUAGGGACAGUGAAAUUGUCACAUCAAAAUACAAAGUUUUCAAAACAGUAUAUUUUAUUUUACAAUAGCAACCAACUCCCCAGUUUGUUUCAAUUGUGACAUCUAGAUGGCUUAAGAUUACUUUUUGGUGGUCACCCAUGCUGAACAAUAUUUUUCAAUCUUCAAAACAGCAAAGACUCAAAAGAGAUUCUGCAUUUCACAUCAGUUCACAAGUUCAAGAGUCUUCCAUUUAUCUUAGCAUUUUGGAAUAAAUUCUCUUUGAGGUAGAAGGGCAAUGAUGAAGCCACUUAAUUCCUUGUGUCUGCAUAAAAGCAGAUUUAUUCAUCACAACUUCAUUUAUGUGAAUAAAGCAGAUGAUGAUAAAAUGUUCUCUUAUUCUUGUUUAAUCAGUGGUGGUAGUGAUGCCAGAAACUGUGAAAGGAAGGCUUUUAGUUACUUUCUUCUUUCCAUUUUCCAAUAAUGCAUUCCCCAUCCUCACCUGAAGAAAGGGGUGUUACUGAGUCCAGCUGAUACCACACAUUGAAAGAUAAACAUUAAUAUUUCAAAUCUGAUGUCUAACUAAAAAUGUACAGAAUGAAAACUAGAAAAUUUCAACCCCAGAUUAUCUUCAACCUUGCUCCCUCCACCAAUCAUACUUCGACAUUUAUCUAUUUCCUUCUCCACUUAUGGAUGUAAUUGGCUUGCCACAGAAACUACAGUUUAGAUGCUUUGAAAGUAUGUAUGAACUACAAUGAACAAUAAAGUCCUCUUCUUUUGAAGCAUAUUUUGGCUUCAGCUUUAAGAUAAUCUUAUGACAAGAGGGGUCACACUGAUUCACUUAAUAAAUUUCAUUCUUACCUAACACAAGGUUUAGUUGAUAAGCACUUGGACAAAAAUAAUACUUUUCAAAAAUGUAAAGCAAACUAAUGAGGACAAAGGAUUUAGUCUCAUCUCAACAAUGAUCAGCUAUUGGAACUGCAUGAAACUAAACAAUUUAAACCUGGAGCUGGUAAUGUUCUUAAGACCAAUUCAGAACAAAAGCAGGCUGCCCUUAAAACAGGUUUGACCUUUUCCUUCACUCUUCCUCCUGUCCCACCCUCUGUGAGUGAUUUAAAAAUGGAAAAGGUCAAAGCCCAGCCAGGCCUACAUUUAGAGAAAUUUUAAAAAAAAAUUUUCCUUUCAAUUUUGGCCAAUUAUUUCCAAUUUUUAUUUUAUUCUUAAAACUUAAGCACGGUAAAAUGUUAAGCUGUUUUCAUCCACUGAUAUUAUUCUACUAUAAGAAGCCCUUCUUGAGCAGAUUUGAUGAUAAAAGGAGAACAUUUCUAAGGUAUAAUUUGAGAAGCUGUUGCAUGAGAAAUCAUGUCUCCAUCUCCAUUUUGCUAUGCGUUAUCUGAGGAUUGUUUCUGAAAGAGAUCUAUUUAGGCAGUGUAUGUAUGUGUCAGCACGUAAAAAGUAAAGAACUGAAAAUAGACAAACCUUGUAAAUGCACUUCAAAACCAAUUGUGGCUCAAGUGUGGGUGGUUCCCCAAGGCUGGUACCAAUGAGACUAGGGUUUGGGAAUUAGUUGGUCAUCAUCCCUCCUGCUGCCCAGCAGUGGUCAGUCUUUUUUCAUGAGGGAUGGACUAGGAAAACGAAGUGUCUAUUAUAAGGAGAGUUCCCGCAACUUAAGGAGCAAGCUCACUACAAAACCCAGCUACCUGCUUAUCGUAGUGGCCAGAGUGGUAGAAGAGAUACAGAGUAGGAAUUAAACCACACAAUGUUAUUUAGGGACUAAGCCAUGCCCCUAACAAGAAAACAAGCCAAAACGAAAGUACUUGGCAUUCUCUGGGAAGGUACAUGCAUUUUUUUUCCCAUGUCUCUGGGGCCAAAAACCUUAUACCAAGUACCUAUUGGCACCCAAAUAUAUUUGUAGAAUGAAUGAAUACAUGAAAAAAAAAUAAACAGUAACCUUUCUCCUAUAUUCUACUUUCCAAGCCAAUUAAUAAGCAAGUAUCUUUUCGUCAUGAUUUUUUUUGUUUUCUGUCUAGGAUUUAACAAAAUGGUUGACAUAACAGUCACUUCUGUUUGAUGAAGAGUAUCACUUCAUUCCAUUUAUUGUGUUUUUGUUGCAUCUCCAAGUCAGAAUAAAUGCCUUUUGGAGCAGAUAUAUUUCAUUUAGCAUUUAGUAUCAUCUUCAUCAAUAUUCAUAUGAACGAAAAAAUAAAAAGCCCUCUCUUAUUCCCACUCUACAGCGCAUGUCAAAGGUGAUCUGUUUAGUUUUUCCUUAGUAUCGAACAUAUCACAGCCACUCAAUGAAGUUUCUUCUCAACUAAAGAAACACAGUCUCUUAGAGAAUUUGUUCCUGUGUUUCCACCAUAAGAUAAAUGAGAUAAAGUGCACUUUGGUUUAGGUCUUUCAGGCACUUAAGAACAGCACUUUAUUGUUUUAAUAAAUUUUUACUAAAUUGGUAAAUGCAAAAGAAUCUUUUUCUUAUUGCUCAAAUGUCUUCCUGUCUCUAAGCCUGACCAAUGAGCAAAUACCUUUAAAACUAGUUGUUUCAUCUUGAACCAUUUAACUGUAAUAGAAGCAGAAUGUUUCGGUAAUGAAUUAAAGAACAAACCCUGAGCCCUUUUAUCAGUCUUCUGGCUUUAAACUAAGCCAAUGAGCAAGCGAUUUGGGGGAUUCCUGAAACUAGGAAAAAUGUCUCUUUAUUUUGAAAGAAACUUGCGUUUUUCUUUCUUUCUUUUUUUUUUUUUUAAUCUCAAAGGCAAUUGAGUGGGUCUUCUGGGCCAGACCUAUUUAAUUUACUAAUUUACCAAACAUAGUACCUUGCAGAGAAUAGGCACUGAAAUAUUAUUUAUACAAUCAAACCAAAGAUGUUCUUCUAUCUUCAGCUGUCAGUGAUCUAAUGCCCUCAUCUCUCUUAUCCUCAGGACCCAGAAUGGUAUAUUCCACAUAAAAGAUGCUUUGUUUAUCAAAUGAAUCAAAAAGCAAGCCUGAGGCAUUUAUUUUUACUCCUUUACUUCUGUAGGCCAGGCCAAGGUGGGUAAUUCACUUCUAUCAUCGGCACUUAAGAAACUGGAUGGAAGACCACAACACCUUGUUUUUUGCAAAAAUUUUCCAUCUCCUCAAUCACGCCAGGAAGCAUGUAUCUUCUGGACAGGACUUUAUCUCUCUACUUAGCUUAGUACACUGCCUUAUACUAGUCCAUUUUGUCCCAUGUUUUCAUCAUUGAAUAAACUUGUUAAGUGACUUAUGGUCUGGAUCUCACACCUAUUACUUCAUUUCCUUCUGUGAGCACUCUAUAAUGAUAACAUCAUUUUUAUAUCCUAGGGCAUGUAGUUCCGAGCCCCACAGAAAGUAAUCACCAUUCAGUAAGCCAAUAGUUCAUUCCUAUCUGUAUAGAACUGUAGGCUUGUAAAUCUACACAUAGAUCUCUGUUGUAGGUUCAAUAAUGAUAAUAAAUGUUUGUGUCCCCAGUUGUUAUCUCUAAGGAUAAGAGUAAUCGAUGAUCAUUCAGCAGAUAUUGCUUAUAUAUGGGUGGCAGUUUAGAAAUUAUAAAUUGAUUUUACACAUAUUUUCUUCUGCUACCCAAGACACAAUAAAGAUGGUUUAUCUUUACAUCCCCAAUGCCUAGCAAUGAGAUUGGCACACAAUAGAUAACUACUAUAGUGGCAUUCUUCAGACAACCAAUCCCUUGCAUAUGCGUAUUCAAAAGAUAAUCAUUGUUAUUCAAAUUUUCCUACUUUAUUUGCACAAUAUAAUUAGCAUACAAUUUUAUAAACCUAGUACUCAGCACCAAGUGAGAAAAUCAACAGUUACAUUUAUAUGGUGCCUUAGAGUUCACAAAAUGCUAACAUAGGUAUUGCCUUAUUUUUGGCCAUGGCUAAAUGAAAUAUGAUAAAUUUUCAGUGCCUUUAACAGUGAGUUCACAUAGUAGGCAAUCAAAAUUGCUCUAUUUAACAGGUAUUUAAACCCUUGGUUUGUAUAACUACUUAUAGAACCCUUCUCACUGUGGUUUAACUAUACAAUGAGAAUUUUGUAGAGACAAUACCUAGCUUACAGAAAGUUUUAUUCAUACAGAAAGCAUCGAAUUUUUCAUUCACAAGUGCUUUAUAAUUUAGAAAGCACAUUCGCAAGCUGAAUUAAGUGACUUUUGGUCUGGAUCUCACAUCUAUUACUUCAUUUCCUCAUACUAGCUCUUUCCUGGUUACCUGGGAAAAUGUAUCGGUAAUAAUUUAACUUAACCUCACCAGUAAAGUCUUGAUUGUUUAAAAUUAAGCAAUAUAUUAUUCCUUACAUCUGAAUAGUAUAGAGGAUAAACUUUCCUCUUAUUACAUAGGAGAAUUAAUCUUGUAUUUUACAGUACCCAAAAUAGCUGGGAUGUAAGAGGCACUUAAUAUUCAUUCAUCCAUUCAUUCAUUCAUUCAUAAAUAUGUAGCCCAUUGACAUUUGUAUCGUGCUUUAGUUUACAAAGCACUUUAAUAUGCACCUUUCUGAAAUUUUUUGUUCUAUGAGAAUAUUUUUCCCCCUUUGGUAGCUCUAGCACCCAGCAUGGUAUCUGGCACAUUAUAGGUGACCACAACAAGCUUAGUCCCUUAUGUUUUCAGUAUAUUUUAAAGUUUAAAAGCAGUUUCCAUGUGUUUUCGUUUCUGAUACCUGGAAUACUGCAUUUUUACUCAAAAUUACCAGAGCAGCAAACACAAAUUGGCCUCAGAUAUACAUAUAAUUUAUUCAUUCAUCAAACAAUUCCUUGUGUCUGCAUAGUACUAUAUUCCUUUUGAAAGAGCACUUUUUUAUGCUUGCUCCUUUCUUUGUAUCCACAAUGCUUAUCACAGUAGAAUACAAGUGCUUUACAGUUUACAAAGCACAUUCACUAUUUUUUUUCAGGUCACCUAGAUAUCAAUAAUCAUUGCAUUUUUAGUGCCUAGCACAGGGACAGGCACAGAAAAGGAAACUAGUAGUAUUCAGAAAUUUUCUCUGAAUAACAAAUAAUACAUCGGGGGUGGUAAGCUAUGAACAGCAGGCCAAAUCCAAUUGGCUCAAAAACUAAGAAUGAUUUCGACCUUAUAGAAAGGUUGUUUAAAAAACAAAUAUGUAACAGAAACCAUAUGGCCCACAGUCUAAAGUAUUAUGAUUUGACCCCUUACAGAAAAACUGUGGACCCGAGUUACAUAAUGCUUCACAAUUUACACUGCACUUUCAAAUGUUAACUGCAUGAUUGCCAAUACACUAAUAAGGAACACGCCUUGGUUUUUCUCUUAUGUUUUACAGUGCUUUCAUACACAUUAUCAGUCAUUUAAAUCAACUUCCCACAUAAACAGGAAGAAAAAAAUCAAGGAAAAUAUUAAAUGUGCUCAAUAGUCCCAGGUUCUCUCGCCUUUAAGCCUAGAGAUGGGUAUUAAACCCAGAAGUAGGGUUGGCACAGUCCACCAAAUUAUUUGGCCACUACUAUGAGCAGGGAGUUCAGGCUGUCCCCUUGGGACCUCGCUUUGUCCCAGGCAGUCACCCUUUCCAUAACUAUCACUAGAAAUCCCAAACCCCAGAAUCCUGCUCACCUAAGCUCAAAGAAGGAAGCUGUUGCUGGCAGGUGCUUCUCGGAAGUCUGGUACAUCUGUGUAUUUCUUGUCUAAUUCUUCUCAUUGGCCUGGAGCAUCUCUUCACAUUUUUCUCUAGAGAGCCUGGCACUUUUUUUUCCCCAACAACCUGACCAUUUUAUCUUCUCAGUCUAGGGCUUCUGGGGUUAAAAGAGAGGACUGAAAUACAGUAUCACCUAUAUAAAUGCCUGCUCCUGAGGGAAGUUAACAAAAGCCAGAUUAGAUACUGACUGGAUUUUGGUGUCUCUCUCAAGUGGAGAAGAUGUGAAUAGAUACAGAAGUUUACAAAACACUAUAGCCUAACAAAUAGGUAAAAGCUGUGAUUUAAAGCUGGCUCAAGACUGGCCCAGGCAUAAUACUGUCAAUCUAAAGGUAACUGGCAACAUCAAAAAGUACAUCUCAAAAGAAUCAGGCUUAAAGAGAAACAGGAGAACUGGAAAUAUCUAAGAGUAAGAAGUGUAAACAAUAGAAAAGAGGUAGAGUUUAGGGUUCUCGUCUUGGGAUUUCCCCAGGUCUUCAAGCUUCUAUCCUUCCUGGGUUCUGGGUCAUGGGCCUCCAGAUUCCGGCCUUUAGUCUUGAGAUACCUGUUUCACUUGGGUCCUCUAUCCAUCUAGGUAGGCUUUGUGACAGGGGCCUUCCAUCCUUGGGUUGUAGGUCUUCCAGCUACAACCCUGGGAUAAUCUUAGGUCUUUGGCCUUGUGUCACAAGUCUCAGUUCUUAGGCCUUCCAUGUGUCCUGUCCCGGGUCUUAAGACUUCUAACUCAAGCCUUGAGACUUCCAUCCAACUCAGGCCUUCGGUCCAAUUCAGGCCACCCUCUGUUUUCUUGGCUCUUGAGGCUUUUGUUGGUUUCAGGCCUGAGGCUUCUAUCUAUCUUGGAACACGGGCUUUCCAUCUUAGUCCUCGGGUCUCAAGUCUCAAACCAUCUGUCUUCUACUCUGGGCCUUCUACCCAUAUGAGCCUUCCACCUUCUGUCCUACUCGAGUUUUGGGUUUUACUGCAGUCUAGGGCCUUGUUUUGGUCUUGGAUCAUCUCACGUGGCAGCCUGGCAUAAGGAAUCGCUCCACAAUGCUUAUUCUGAUAGCCGACGUUCUGCACCUAUCAGGCAGGGGUUAGGAAGCCCCUCUGCCACACAUGACACACACACACGUACACUUGCCCACAUAUGCAAAGAAAUAUUUAAGGAGAGAUUACAUGAAAUCAAAGAGAGGGAGAUAGAUUCAUGAAGAGGCUGAAAUACUCAAAGGGGAGUAGAAAGGGAAGAAGCAGAGAAGAAAUACAAGCCAACAGAGAUUAAUACUGAAAUAGAAAAUCACAAACAGCAAGAGAUGCUGAGGCACGCAGGGGAGGAGAGAGAAAAUAGCCCAAGAGAGGCAGAAAGGAAAUGCAGAAACGAGAAAUGUGAGAUAAAAAGUAGAAACAGCAGAAAGGAGGCCAGACUCAGAAAAAAGGUGAAAUUUAAAACGAACAAGAAGGGGAAGGGGUAACAAGUAAUCACAGUUCACAAAGAGAAAAGAGAGGUAGGCAGAGAAAGGAGAGGUAGACAGAACAAGAAAAAGACAAAAAGCACACAGCAUGUGACCCAAAAAGGAGACAUGAAAUAAAGCGUGAAAGAAGAGCCACAUCUAGGAGAGCAAACAGAAACAGCAACAAAAUGAAAAAUGAGAGAUAUGUCUAAGACAAGACACAGACCACUCUUGUGAACAAAAAGAGAAAAUGAGGCAAAGGCACACAUGAAAGAAAUUAGCAAGAGAAACAUGGAAAUGGGUAAGACACACUUUAGAUAGAGAACAAAGAGCAAAGACAAGGAAGAAAGAGAUGAAGAAAUACACACUUGAGUGCAAGAGAUAAGCAAAGGAAGACAUUCAGAGGAAGUAAGUAGCAGAAGAGGCAAGAUACAGUGAGGGGCACAAGAGGCAUGAAAAGCAUCACAGAAAGAUUAAAAAAAUCAAAAAGUGUCAUUAGUAAUUAUAAUAAACUAUUGUUACUACAAAUACUACUUAUACCACUACAAUAAUAAUUAUAACAACCACCAACACCAACACAGAUGCUCUUCUAUUUAUAAACUUUUACCUUAGGGAUUUCUUACAUAGAACCAAAGCAUGCCAACUCUGCCUGCUACCUGAUAGUGCUAGUGGUCACUUAUAUUGUGGGAAAUGAACUUAUGAGUCUUCUUGGGUUACCUUUUACUUGCCAUGUGCCAGGCACUGCAAUAGGUGAGCACUUUACAUACAUGAUUUCAUUUAACCCUCACAAACAAACAAGUCUAAUCAGAGACUUUAAGUUGUCAAAGAUCAUAUAUCUAAUGAGUAGCAGAGGAUUUAAAACACACAAUGUAUGCCUCUUAACAUUCUGUUACAACUAUUUACUAGGAUUUCUGGAAGAGCCAAAUGGGAUGUCACAGAUGACUAAGUAUUUUCAUAAAAGGCUCUUCGAUAGGACUUGCUCAAUCCCCUCCUUUAGCAUCACCUUUCCCCAACUCUUUAGAAAACGGACUUCAUUCUCACACUUUUAUAAUGGCUACUUCAGAGUUUAGUUUUCUUUUUACACUAAUCUUAACUGACGACAGAGUCUCUCACAAAUGGAGAUGAGGAAGGGUUACCCUUUCAGCAGAAAGCAGAAAUGGUGCUUUAAGCUUCUCAAUGUUUAAGGCUCUAAGAAUGACAGAGGGCCUAUACAGUGAAGACAGAACACACAAGCAAAGGCUAAAUUCUGUGAUACAACUGGUAAGAAGACCAUAAUGUCUUUGAGUUGCUUCACUGAACCCAGUCAGCAAUAUGGAAGACUGGUCAUCUUUCCAUCUCACAUUUAGCCCCACUUCACAUUAGACCAACACACCCCAUCCAACACCAGCUCCCAAAAAACAGCUGUUGUAACAGUUCUGAAGUGAUCCUCACAGGACUGCAACAUCAACAACUUACUUCAUUCAGCUAUCCUAAAGUGCUAGAGUGCCAGGCACGUUGAUCUUCAGGUGGGAAGGCUGACUUCCUUCAGUGUGUUCAAAUUUCUUGGACCUGCUGAAGACUCAGCUCUCCGCACCGCUUGUAGGAAGUAUAAUGAUUUGGCAGAUAGGAACAAUGAAGAG